rnacentral:misc_RNA from 1 species
CGUCAUUGCACCCCUCACGCCCCGCGUGGUCCUGGGGGCGGUCCGGGUUGGACCCCCCCGAAAAGCAGUGGCGGCGCGGCCGUUGGCGUCCCGCGGAGUAAUUUUUCAAAUCGCGGUGGACGUUCGGCCGGGCCGGCCAGCCAACCCUCAUUUUUGCAACCGUUGACCUCGGAUCAGGUAGGGAUACCCGCUGAACUUAA